AAAAAAACAAACCCUGGUUUUCCGGCCGUACCUAACGUUUGACUGUCCGUCUUAUAUGAAAUUUUUUUUAUAAUUAGUAUUUUUAUUGUUGUUAGAUGAUAAAAUAUGAUUAAUACUUUAUACGUGACUUGUCUUUUUAAUUUUUUUUUUAUAAUUUUUUUAAAUAAGACGGACGAUCAAACGUUGAACACGAAAAUCCAGGGUUUGUCUUUUA
rfam:Oryza barthii chromosome 1, whole genome shotgun sequence.